rnacentral:lncRNA from 1 species
UGGAAUCAAACUGAUUCAGUCAACUGAAGGAAUAACCUUGACUCAAUCUCAUUAUAUAGAGAAAUCUAUACUUGAGAAAUAUGGCUAUUCACAGUGUAGAAUCGCUAGUACACCCUAUGAUUCUAAAGUUGCCCUUGUCAAGAAUACUUCUGGAGUUCCUGUGUUUCAGUUAAGAUAUUCUCAGAUUAUUGGAAGCUUGCAGUAUCUUGCUAACUGUACUAGACCAGAUAUCUCAUAUUCUGUGUCUAAGUUGGCUAGAUAUACAAGCUGUCCAAACAGAACUCAUUGGGAUGCUCUUGAUAGAGUACUUAGAUAUCUGAAAGGCACAAUGUACCUUAGUUUACACUACAGGAGAUUUGGGAUGCUCUUGAUAGAGUACUUAGAUAUCUGAAAGGCACAUUGUACCUUAGUUUACACUAUAGGAGAUUUCCUGGUGUACUUGAAGGGUACAGUGAUGCAAGUUGGAUAGCUAAGAAGUCUGGUUCCAAUGGAGUGACUGGAUAUGUGUUUACCCUUGCGGGUGGAGCAGUAUCCUGGAAGUCGACUAG